rnacentral:rRNA from 1 species
UACAGAGGGGGCAAGCGUUGUUCGGAAUUACUGGGCGUAAAGGGCGCGUAGGCGGCCGCCUAAGUCAGACGUGAAAUCCCUCGGCUCAACCGGGGGAACUGCGUCUGAUACUGGGUGGCUUGAAUCCGGGAGAGGGAUGCAGAAUUCCAGGUGUAGCGGUGAAAUGCGUAGAUAUCUGGAGGAAUACCGGUGGCGAAGGCGGCAUCCUGGACCGACAUUGACGCUGAGGAGCGAAAAGCUAGGGGAGCAAACGGGG